GCCUUCGUGGUGUAAUGGUCAGCCCAUUCGGCUCGUAUUCGAGAGGUCCGAGGUUCGAGUCCCGGUGAGGGCA
rnacentral:tRNA from 1 species